ACUUAAAUAGUUUAAAUAAAAUAUUGAUUUGUGGAAUCAAUGAUAUGAAUUAUCAUUUUAGGUU
rnacentral:tRNA from 1 species